rnacentral:rRNA from 1 species
AGUGAACGCUAGCGGUGCGCUUAACACAUGCAAGUCGAGCGCCCCGCAAGGGGAGCGGCAGACGGGUGAGUAACGCGUGGGAAUCUACCUUUUGCUACGGAAUAACGCAGGGAAACUUGUGCUAAUACCGUAUGUGCCCUUCGGGGGAAAGAUUUAUCGGCAAAGGAUGAGCCCGCGUUGGAUUAGCUAGUUGGUGGGGUAAAGGCCUACCAAGGCGACGAUCCAUAGCUGGUCUGAGAGGAUGAUCAGCCACAUUGGGACUGAGACACGGCCCAAACUCCUACGGGAGGCAGCAGUGGGGAAUAUUGGACAAUGGGCGCAAGCCUGAUCCAGCCAUGCCGCGUGAGUGAUGAAGGCCUUAGGGUUGUAAAGCUCUUUCGCACGUGACGAUGAUGACGGUAACGUGAGAAGAAGCCCCGGCUAACUUCGUGCCAGCCGCCGCUGUAA